GAAAGGAUCUCUCUGUUAUUAUUGUAAUAUACCUUGUCCAGAAUUCAUGAUGAAAUACAUUUUCUCCAGAACGUUUAAUGGUGUGAAAUCAAACUGUCUCUUGUCAGACCGUUCUCCAUGCCUCCCCUAACCCCAGUAUUUGUGCUGAAGAUGGUGGGACCUCAAUUCACCCUUCUGGAAUGUUGCAGAGCCUGGCCGCAGCCUGAGCAGUGGCAGCUCUCCAGGAGCCUGAGGUCUGAAUCUGCCUGGUACAGCAUCCUGGAGGGCACAUGCAGACACAGAAGUUCUGUGUGCCCUGUGAAACAGUGGGCCAGUAAUCCAGCUGAGUGCUUCUGGACCCGGGCCGCCACCAGGGAACUGACAACCCCACAUCUGCCACAGGCAGAAAACUUGCAGGGGUCAGGGGAAGCUCUUUCUCUGCCAUUUAAGAAGGAACAGUGGAGGCCGGGGCUGCCAGCCCGCUUGGCUCACAACUUUUGGACUGUCUGGCAUUGUGGCCAGCACGUGACUGUGGUUAUUUGGGGCAAGCAGGGGUGCCCAAGUCCAAACACAUCUCCUCCCGGGCCUGUCCCUCGCUGACACAUCUGCCUUGACCUCACGUCGCAGCUGCCGAUCCCUGGCUUCUUUUAUUCGGGAGAGACCUAGGGACUACCGCCACGAUGCACGCUCACUCCCUGCUCAGACCUGACGGUGGAUCCCGAGCCAUGGACCCUGGCAUUCUCCCCACAGGUCAGUUCACCUUCACCCCCUUUUGAUGUUGCCACUUCCAGAUGUUCCAGGGAGAUGCCUCCUUGGUCUACUCCAGUCCCCGGGCACAUCCUGAAUGCAGACCUCAGGCAGCCACCCCAGACCCAGCGGAGGGGACACCAGCACAGGCAGUGCAAGUGGGCCUGCCAUCAGGAAAGUGACCAUCCCUGCUUGUCCCUCCAGGGCUAGAGUCAUGACUGUAUUUGGGUGUGAUUCAGGUUCAUGUAACAGAGCAGAAGUGAUGUUAAAGAGGAAGAAGAAGUAGAUGAAGACAUGGCUGAAAGCAGAC
rnacentral:lncRNA from 1 species